rnacentral:rRNA from 1 species
UACGUAGGGGGCAAGCGUUGUCCGGAUUUAUUGGGCGUAAAGAGCGUGUAGGCGGCCAGGUAGGUCAGCUGUGAAAACUCGAGGCUUAACCUCGAGACGCCGGCUGAAACCCUCUGGCUAGAGUCCGGAAGAGGAGAGCGGAAUUCCUGGUGUAGCGGUGAAAUGCGCAGAUAUCAGGAGGAACACCGAUGGCGAAGGCAGGUCUCUGGGCCAUAACUGACGCUUAGAAGCGAAAGCAUGGGGAGCGAACAGG